rnacentral:snRNA from 1 species
UAAUGCCCUGUGGUAUCUG